GUUGCGGCUGGGGCGGCUUCACUUGGUUACAAUGUGGCAGAUUUACAACCCUACGCUGAGAACUCAGAUGACAAUAACUGCCCAAUUUGCGUGAUUAGUUUACGGAGGAAGAAUGCAGUAAUGCUAGCUAAGUGCAGACACUAAUUCUGUAAGAAUUGUGUCACGCUUUGGUUUAAGACUCGUCCCACCUGCCCAGUAUGCACCAUGGCGUAUGCACUUAGGACCGGAACUCAACAGUAAGGAACAAUGACCGUGCGCAUUAUUUCUGCUGGUAGUUCUGGACUCUGAAAUGGAAUUCACGGUUAUCCUGGCAUCGACAUCAUGAAAAUUUCAAUGACUUCCCAAACGGAACACAAGGUUCCGAGCAUCCAAAUCCGGGACAGCCAUACUCGGGCUCUAGUCGAGUUGCAUACCUGCUUUGUACCAAAGAAGGUGAAGAUGUAUUGAGCCUUUUAAAGAUAGCCUGGGAUCGCAGGUUGCUGUUCAGCGUAGGAACCUCCAUCACCACAGGACGAAGGAAUGUAGUCACAUGGGCAGGAAUCCACCACAAGACCAGAACAUGGGGAGGACCUACGAACUUUGGUUAUGUAUCACACCCCUUUAUUUUGGUUUUCGGUUUAUUUGUGUUUGUCUGAACAAGUUUUUCUGCUGUAUUCUCACGUUGAAUUUAAAGCAUCAUUCUUAUACUCAUCCGAGGAAUCACAAUAUUGCCCGAUGAUACGUACUUCGCCAGAGUUAAGGCGGAACUUGCUGAAAAGGAGUGAAGUGAUAUUCUACAAGCUUCAACCAGCAAAAUUUGACAGAGAUGCGGAUUCCGGCAAGAAUGUAUUUUGAACAAGAAAGAACGGCUGGUUUCUGCAAGCAUGAAUGCCGUUCAUGAUGGAUGUACAUUCAUACAUUGGUUUUAUCCCCAGUUGAGGGUUGCACGAGGUCUCGCAGUUGGUUUUUCUUGGAGGCCAUUUUAUUGCGAAACAGAAUGUCAACAUUAGCUGUCACGAAUAGCGGAACGCAAUUUUGCCUGAGAUCAUCCUUCAUUGAUGAGCUGAGCGUGAUGUAAUCAAGUCCUUGGAGCAUCGACAUGAAUCGUCAGUGCAAUGGACAUCACAGACGUAACACUUUUUUGUAAUGGCAGGUCGUGGUUGGAGAUUCAAUGCACCUUUCUCUGGAUAGUGGGUACUGGUGAAGUUGCUUUGUGACACUUUUAGGUUUUUUGUGUUUUUUUAAUUCGAUAAUCAACAUUACAUAUCUUAAGCAAAUGUUGAUCACCUAGAAUUGUGUUGUUUCCAUCGUGAAAAAGAGUGUGUCUAUAAUUAGAUAAAUUGUAGAUAUACAUGAAGAGAAUCUGAGGGAUAAAACAGAGUGCAAUAAAUAAUAAUAAA